CCUACGGGUGGCAGCAGUGAGGAAUAUUGGUCAAUGGCCGUAAGGCUGAACCAGCCAAGUAGCGUGAGGGAAGACUGCCCUAUGGGUUGUAACCCUCUUUUAUGCGGGGAUAACGGUGUCCACUUGUUGAUGUUUGCAGGUACCCCAUGUAUAAGGACCGGCUAUUGACGUGCCAGCAGCCGCGGUAAUACGGAAGGUUCGGUCGGUAUCCGGAUGUAUUGGGUUGAAAGGGAGCGUAGGCGGGUCUUUAAUCGUGCCGUGAACUUUUGUGGCUCAACCAUGAGAGUGCGGCGCGAACUGGAGACCUUGAGUGCGCGGAAGGCAGGCGGAAUUCGUGGUGUAGCGGUGAAAUGCGUAGAUAUCACGAAGAACACCGAUUGCGAAGGCAGCCUGCCGCAGCGUUACUGACGCUGAAGCUCGAAAGCGCGGGUAUCGAACAGGAUUAGAUACCCGGGUAGUC
rnacentral:rRNA from 1 species